rnacentral:rRNA from 1 species
GUGGGGAAUCUUGCGCAAUGGGCGAAAGCCUGACGCAGCAACGCCGCGUGAGGGAUGACGGCCUUCGGGUUGUAAACCUCUUUCGAGCAGGGACGAUAGUGACGGUACCUGCAGAAGAAGCUCCGGCCAACUACGUGCCAGCAGCCGCGGUAAUACGUAGGGAGCGAGCGUUGUCCGGAUUCAUUGGGCGUAAAGAGCUCGUAGGCGGUUUGGUAAGUCGGAUGUGAAACCUCCAGGCUCAACCUGGAGCCGCCAUCCGAUACUGCCAUGACUUGAGUCCGGUAGGGGCCCACGGAACUCCUGGUGUAGCGGUGAAAUGCGCAGAUAUCAGGAAGAACACCGGUGGCGAAGGCGGUGGGCUGGGCCGGUACUGACGCUGAGGAGCGAAAGCGUGGGGAGCGAACAGGAUUAGAUACCCCAGUAGUCC